rnacentral:rRNA from 1 species
UACGGAGGGUGCGAGCGUUGUCCGGAAUCACUGGGCGUAAAGGGCGCGUAGGCGGCCUGAUAAGUAGGGGGUGAAAUCCUGCGGCUUAACCGCAGGGCUGCCUUCUAAACUGUCAGGCUCGAGCACAGUAGAGGCAGGUGGAAUUCCCGGUGUAGCGGUGGAAUGCGUAGAGAUCGGGAAGAACAUCAGUGGCGAAGGCGGCCUGCUGGGCUGUUGCUGACGCUGAGGCGCGACAGCGUGGGGAGCAAAAGGG